CUCUGGCGGCGUGCUUAACACAUGCAAGUCGAACGGAAAGGCCCUGCUUUUGUGGGGUGCUCGAGUGGCGAACGGGUGAGUAACACGUGAGUAACCUGCCCUUGACUUUGGGAUAACUUCAGGAAACUGGGGCUAAUACCGGAUAGGAGCUCCUGCUGCAUGGUGGGGGUUGGAAAGUUUCGGCGGUUGGGGAUGGACUCGCGGCUUAUCAGCUUGUUGGUGGGGUAGUGGCUUACCAAGGCUUUGACGGGUAGCCGGCCUGAGAGGGUGACCGGCCACAUUGGGACUGAGAUACGGCCCAGACUCCUACGGGAGGCAGCAGUGGGGAAUAUUGCACAAUGGGCGGAAGCCUGAUGCAGCAACGCCGCGUGCGGGAUGACGGCCUUCGGGUUGUAAACCGCUUUCGCCUGUGACGAAGCGUGAGUGACGGUAAUGGGUAAAGAAGCACCGGCUAACUACGUGCCAGCAGCCGCGGUGAUACGUAGGGUGCGAGCGUUGUCCGGAUUUAUUGGGCGUAAAGGGCUCGUAGGUGGUUGAUCGCGUCGGAAGUGUAAUCUUGGGGCUUAACCCUGAGCGUGCUUUCGAUACGGGUUGACUUGAGGAAGGUAGGGGAGAAUGGAAUUCCUGGUGGAGCGGUGGAAUGCGCAGAUAUCAGGAGGAACACCAGUGGCGAAGGCGGUUCUCUGGGCCUUUCCUGACGCUGAGGAGCGAAAGCGUGGGGAGCGAACAGGCUUAGAUACCCUGGUAGUCCACGCUGUAAACGGUGGGUACUAGGUGUGGGGUCCAUUCCACGGGUUCCGUGCCGUAGCUAACGCUUUAAGUACCCCGCCUGGGGAGUACGGCCGCAAGGCUAAAACUCAAAGGAAUUGACGGGGCCCCGCACAAGCGGCGGAGCAUGCGGAUUAAUUCGAUGCAACGCGUAGAACCUUACCUGGGUUUGACAUGGAUCGGGAGUGCUCAGAGAUGGGUGUGCCUCUUUUGGGGUCGGUUCACAGGUGGUGCAUGGCUGUCGUCAGCUCGUGUCGUGAGAUGUUGGGUUAAGUCCCGCAACGAGCGCAACCCUUGUUCACUGUUGCCAGCACGUUAUGGUGGGGACUCAGUGGAGACCGCCGGGGUCAACUCGGAGGAAGGUGGGGAUGACGUCAAGUCAUCAUGCCCCUUAUGUCCAGGGCUUCACGCAUGCUACAAUGGCUGGUACAGAGAGUGGCGAGCCUGUGAGGGUGAGCGAAUCUCGGAAAGCCGGUCUCAGUUCGGAUUGGGGUCUGCAACUCGACCUCAUGAAGUCGGAGUCGCUAGUAAUCGCAGAUCAGCAACGCUGCGGUGAAUACGUUCCCGGGGCUUGUACACACCGCCCGUCAAGUCAUGAAAGUUGGUAACACCCGAAGCCGGUGGCCUAACCGUUGUGGGGGAGCCGUCGAAGGUGGGACUGGUGAUUAG
rnacentral:rRNA from 1 species